AUGACUCCUACUGCAUCUGUACAGCUGUAUCAUCCACAGCCUGUGGGAGAAUGUGUGCUUCAGUUGUGAAGCACAAGUUCCAAAAAAAGAGAGCCAGCUUAUGUGCUGUGGGUCUGUAAGGGGUCUCUGAGCCAGCCAGUCACCUUCCCUGGAGCUUCCUAUCAGUCAGAGAGGCCAAGGUCUUCACCUGCCUGUUACCUUACCUUUUAGAGUACCAAGUGCAUACCAACUCACAUGGAAAUCCAGAAAACCUGGCCUGAUUUUUUGAAGCACCACUGUGUUUUACCCUUCCAUUUGAUGAUGAGCAGUGUUGUUCUGAGGUAGACAGAGCAUCUUGUCUCCUGGAAGAGAAGUCAGGAAACAGCUGAAACCUCUUUUUUGCCAGUACUGCAACCAAGAAAGUAAAUUUCUCUUUUUCAGGGGUCAGGUCAUAUCAAUCAAGUCAUAGCAAUGGCUCUGGUUCUUCAGUGUCAUCUCUGGCUGCUUAUGUAGUUUCUCCUGCCUCAGUCACAACAGAGGCUUUCUAAUAAACCCUGUGAAGCCCUCUGUGCCAUGCUGGUUACGCAUUUCAGUGAGCUCACAGAGGUCCAGGUUUUGCAUGAAGGCUUGAGCCUGUCGUUCAGUUUGCACCACGUUGUCUCUGGUCCUCGUGUUCUUGCUGAAACAUACCUAGGUGAAGUCCAGAAACACUUUCCAGCAUUACAUCAUCUUCCUGCAAUAAUAGUAAGGAUAAUUUUUUAUCAUCCCCAUUUGCUGCCAUUCUUGGGAUCAAAGCUCCUGUAAGCACCUGAAGGCUGUAUUACUCUGAUUUUCAGCCCGGGCAGAUGCAUUUGCAGGGUGGUUUCAGCAGGACUAGGCUAAAGAUCUUCUGCUUGCCAAAGUCUGCAGGUGCUGGAAUAGGACAAAGCACCAUUUCUGAAGGUUAUGAUGGGACUAUAAAGACUGUAAAGACCUGCAGAGAAUGAAUCAUCUGCGCAGCUUAUGCAUCCAUCCUGGGAUGAGAUGAAGCCCAUCUGCAAAUAGCUACUUCAGCUCCCUGAGUUUGGAUGCAUGUCAGAUGAUCCAUCAGACAUGAGGGAAAAGGUUUAUAAGCAAAUCUAAUGUUACAAACUUAGAGCUGUCACACUGGCAUAGCAAUCUAGGUUUUGGCUUUUCUAUUUUCUUUCUGUUUUUGAAAAAUCCAUCAGCUGUAAAUGUUGACUUCACUGAUGGGGGAAAAGAUGAAUGGGCCUCUCAGCUCUGGGAGAAAUCUGCCAGCCCUGGGAAACUUAACCUCAAUGCCCAAAAAACCCACCACCUCUUCAUGGAGGACAGGUACUACCUGGUAAGCUGAAAGCUGAAACAGUAUUAUAAUCAGGUUUGUGAUCUUGAGGUUUUUCUUAAAGUUGAUCCUUUUUCUUUUGAGAAAGCUGCACAUUUGUUGCACAUUCACAAAACUAAACCCCGGUUCCAUACUCGCAGCGCCCAGACAAGGCAGGCCUCGAUGAAGGCCAGGUUCAGCCAGGAGUGACGAUCAUCGCUGAAGUUCCUGGUGACAAGACAUGGCCUAGGUCAGCUUAGGAGGCCAUCCUGCAGAUGAGAGACCAGACCCACAGGUCUGUGGCCAGGAAUGGGCAUAGCUGUGGCUGAGCAGAACCACAGCACGGCUUAAACAGGAAAGGAGAAUCCAGGGCUGGGCUUAAAUGGAAGUGUUGGGUGUGACUAUGUUUAUAUGCAGCCAGGGCCUUGACAAGUCAGGAAACCUGGCUCACAGACCUCUUCUUGGGGACUGGACCAUACUGUUGAGUUAAUAAACCAGGAAACUUGAAAAUCAA